rnacentral:rRNA from 1 species
AGACAACAGGGAUUGCCCUAGUAACGGCGAGUGAAGCGGCAACAGCUCAAAUUUGAAAUCUGGCUUCGGCCCGAGUUGUAAUUUGCAGAGGAUGUUUAUGGUGCGGUACCUUCCGAGUUCCCUGGAACGGGACGCCACAGAGGGUGAGAGCCCCGUCUGGUUGGAUACCAAACCUGUGUUAAACUCCUUCAACGAGUCGAGUAGUUUGGGAAUGCUGCUCUAAAUGGGAGGUAAAUCUCUUCUAAAGCUAAAUACCGGCCGGAGACCGAUAGCGCACAAGUAGAGUGAUCGAAAGAUGAAAAGCACCUUGAAAAGGGGGUUAAACAGUACGUGAAAUUGUUAAAAGGGAAGCGUUUAUGACCAGACUUGUGUCGUGUGGCUCAUCCGAGGUUCUCCCCGGUGCACUCCACACGGCUCAGGCCAACAUCGGUUCUCGUUGGGGGAUAGAACAGUAGGAACGUGGCCCUCUUCGGAGGGUGUUAUAGCCUGCUGUACGAUACCCUGAUGGGGACCGAGGACCGCGCUUCGGCUAGGAUGUUGGCGUAAUGGUCAUUAGCGACCCGUCUUGAAACACGGACCAAGGAGUCGUCCAUUAGAGCGAGCGUUUGGGUGUAAAACCCGCACGCGUAAUGAAAGUGAAAUUAGGUGAGAGCUUCGGCGCAUCAUCGACCGAUCCUGAAGUUUACGGAUGGAUUUGAGUAAGAGUUUUAACGGACGGACCCGAAAGACAGUGAACUAUGCUUGAAUAGGGUGAAGCCAGAGGAAACUCUGGUGGAGGCUCGCAGCGGUUCUGACGUGCAAAUCGAUCGUCAAAUUUGAGCAUGGGGGCGAAAGACUAAUCGAACUGUCUAGUAGCUGGUUACCGCCGAAGUUCCCCC